AACGAACGCUGGCGGCAUGCCUAACACAUGCAAGUCGAACGAGACCUUCGGGUCUAGGGGCGCACGGGUGCGUAACGCGUGGGAACCUGCCCUUAGGGUCGGAAUAACUCCCCGAAAGGGGUGCUAAUACCGGAUCAUGUCUUCGGACCAAAGAUUUAUCGCCCUUGGAUGGGCCCGCGUUGGAUUAGCUAGUUGGUAGGGUAAAAGCCUACCAAGGCGACGAUCCAUAGCUGGUCAGAGAGGAUGGUCAGCCACACUGGGACUGAGACACGGCCCAGACUCCUACGGGAGGCAGCAGUGGGGAAUAUUGGACAAUGGGCGAAAGCCUGAUCCAGCAAUGCCGCGUGAGUGAUGAAGGCCUUAGGGUUGUAAAGCUCUUUUACCCGGGAUGAUAAUGACAGUACCGGGAGAAUAAGCUCCGGCUAACUCCGUG
rnacentral:rRNA from 1 species